rnacentral:misc_RNA from 1 species
AACAUCGCGCACCUGCGGGAACCUGCGGAAGGAUCAUUACAGAGUUGCAAGACUCCCUAAACCAUUGUGAACCUACCUUCUACCGUUGCUUCGGCGGGCGGGCCCAGCGCCCCCCCCGGCCCCCCGCGGGCGCCCGCCGGAGGAUACCCAAACUCUUGACAUUAGUGGCCUCUCUGAGUAUUCUUUACUGAAUAAGUCAAAACUUUCAGCAACGGAUCU